AACAUAAUCCGAAGAUAAGCAUCUUGAAACCCAAAAUAUGAGUCAAACAAGAAAGUGAGUGAGCAAUAUUUCGAUUUCAUUACAAAAUCAUCAUCAAUUUGUAAUAAAAUCGAAAUAUUACUCACUCACUUUCUUGUUUGACUCAUAUUUUGGGUUUCAAGAUGCUUAUCUUCGGAUUAUGUU